rnacentral:lncRNA from 1 species
GUCGCCGCCCGCGCCUUCCGUGUGGCCAGUGCUUACCCGCUACAGGGGUCUGUUCCUUCCGGCCCGGCAAGGCCUCCUGGGGGCUGACGAUGUUCGAGGCCGAGUUGCCCAUCCUCGGGACGGGAAAGAGGCUGUGGAGGAGGAGGAGCUGGCAAGCCCUCCGGGUGGCCGAGAGCAUGGGAGGGCGCCAGCCGAAGGGUGGUCCCGGGGGACGGCGCUACCGGCAGCGGAGCCGCAGCCGGAACGGCAGAGAGUGGGGUCCGCGGCCGGAACCGGGGGGCGGCAGGGGCGCGGGCGGGCGGGCGCGGGGCGCUGCUGGCGGGGCUGGAGGCCGCCCGUAAUCGAGGUUGCCCAAACCCGGGGCCGUACCGGCUGUCACCGGGGGCGUGUUCCUUCCCUGGACAGGGGGUGUGGCCCGGCGAGUUCCUGAGGUUCUCUCGGGACGAAGUUCUCGGACAGAGAACAAGUGCGCUCCUGUCGUACGAAGUACGUGAAGCUGCAGAGGCCAAAAAACACGCCGAGCCCUUGGGGAUGCGGUUUGAUUUUAAAGUUGCUGCCGUGUCGCCCCGACUUCGCAGUUUAGCAGUGCCCAGUAAGAUAGAAGAGGACCUGCCUUGCAGCCAGCUAGACUGUCAGUUUUUAUUGGAGACAUUGUCAUGACGGCCAUCAGAAGGGUUGCUAUUCGUCCAAAGUGAAAACUAAGCACAGUUCUCAAAAUGCGCGGAAUAGGGAAGAUGAAUUCAAUAUUAAGUUAUGUAUUUACAAACAUAUUUAAGCCCAUUUUGCAGCGGCCAAAAUACGGGAGCAAGGCACCAACAGCACCAUUAAGGCAGUGUAGGUGGACUUAAUGGUGGUGUUGUAUUAUUCUUGUUUCUCAAAUCAUAGGAGAUGACAUUUGUUCCUGUGACAUUCUCAAACUAAAUGUAAAGUGGUUGGAGCGAGGUGAGUGACUUGGGAGUUCAUCUGUGUGAGAUUUUGGCUUAACACAUGUUCUGCCAAAAUGGGCAGGUCGUCUCAGAUGAGGGAGGGAACUUCAGAUUAGCACCCACAGAAAGGAGGCUUUCACCCAGCUUCUUGCAUGGAUUUAGUUACCACUUUGUUUUCAUGUGGUCUGGACUGUAAGGAGGGCAGGAGGCUUAGCAGUGCUAUAGUGUAGAAUGAGGUGUGUUGCCAGGCAUACAACACUAAAAAGGCUCUAGCUUUGAUUUUGUAAUUUGUAUUUCCCCUGGACAAAAUGAUACCUAAACUGUUUGUUAUUGCUAUGAGGCUAUACCAAGUCGGUUCCACAGGCCUUUCAUGAAAACACCCCCAGGAGUCCCUUCUAGGCUUGCGAAGGCCUGGUCACUAUUAAGGGUCUGAAAAAAUAGUCAUUCUGUCAAAGACAAUAUUUUGUGUUUUUCAGUUACUUCUUUUUGAUACAUACUGAUUUGUCUGUGUUUUGUGGUUGAUUGUAUGAAGUUUCACAUGCUAGAAAUACUCUGCAACUAAGAGCUGAAGAAUGUUUAGUGUGAAGAAAUAACUUACUUGGCAUGAUGGCUCACUCCUGUAAUCCCAACACUUUGAGAGGCUGAGGCAGGAGGAUUGCUGGAGGCCAGGAGUUUGAGACGCCAUCUUUACCAAAAAAAAAAAAAAAAAAGGUAUUUAAGUAGUUGGGCAUGGUGGUGUGGUAGCGCACACCUGUGGUCCCAACUACUUGGGAGGCUGCACCAGGAGGAACGCUGGAGCCAGAGAGGUAGAGGCUGCAGUGAGCUAUGAUCACACUGCUGUGCUCCAGCCCGGGCAACAGAGCAAGACCUUGUCUCAAAAAAAAAAAAUUAAUUUUGAUGUUAAAUGAAAAAGUAAAACAAAUGCAGUGUGCGUGUAUACAUGUAGUAUAUAUGAAAAUGCAUGUACUCCCAGUUGCACAGCCACUGAACAAUUCGAAAAAAAUGCAAUUUUUUUUGUUCAGAAUAGUGGGAUUCUACUGCUUUUCAUUGUCUUUAAACUGUUUUAAGUGUUCUGUAUUGUUACAACGUUCUCGAGUAUUCCAAUGGCUGUUACUUUUAUAAUUAUAAAAGAAUAAGCAUUUUUAAAGAACAGAUAUAUCUUAUUUCAAAAACAAGGGUUUUUCGUUUACCAGAAUAGCUGCAAGAAAAGUUAUAUUAGUUUCUUUGGUGUUUUGAGGAAAGAAUUGAACAUUUUUGCCUUCAGUGGUGCCUUUUUCACCACUAGGACUUCCUUUUCUUCAGACAUUCCCCCUAAUCCAGCGGUCCCCCACCUUUUUGGCACCGUGGACGAGUUUCGUGGAAGACAGUUUUUUUCCACAGAUGGGGAAGGGGAGAUGGGGGAUGGUUUCGGGGUGAAACUGUUCCACCUCAGAUCAUCAGGCAUUAGUUAGCUUCUCAUGAGGUGUGUGCAGCCUAGAUCCCUCACAUGCACAGUUCACGAUAGGGUUUGUCCUCUGAUGAGAAUCUAAUGUCGCUGUUGAUCUGACAGCCACAUCUAACUUGGGAAGGUGGGAGAUGAGGUUCUCUUGCGGAGUGACUAUAGAUACAACUAAUACUUGGAUAUUUGGCAGUUCUAAUAAUAAAACAGGAAUGUUCUUUGGACAACUGUGACACAAUCUACUCCUCUGGCCCCUCAAAUAUCCAUGGAUACCCUUGUGACACAUAGAACACACCCUGUUUGAAGAGAGAAAACCCAGCAUUCUAAGCAGUUACUGCAUCCAGCUCAGCGUCCAUGAUCUAAAGAUGUAACAGUCCCUUACAAGUCUGAUAUAACUCCUCAUGGUCCAAUGACCUACAGAGUAAAUUAUGUUAUUUAUUCCCCUUUCUCUUCCCCACACAGCCAGUAUGCAGUGGUGAAGUAGGGCACGAAAACUAAUUUGGAAGAAGAGUGAGGACAAAAUAGUAGUUCUUUGUCUAAGCGAAUGUGAAGAGCAGAUUAGACUACAAAGCUUGCUGUACUUACAAUGUGUCCAAAAGUACAAGCCAGAGUGUCAUAUUUAUCAGGACACUGAAGGAAUGCAAAUUGUUCCACUAUGGUCUUUUGAGAGAUCACAUAAAACAGAGGAAAAUGUAGUCGUCGUCUAUUGUUAUGAAGAAAUGGCUCAUCUUAUAAAUUAUAUUUUGGUUGCUUUAUGGAAAUACCUACCAAAUCACAGUGUGACUGCAGCAAAUGUGGUUUUUUGGAAGAGCGCAGCCUGUCCAAUCAAUCUAAUUUCCUCAAGAGCAGGAUAGCUGUCUUUUAGAUAAAGGCAAAGAAUUAUAUGUGAAAUAUCUGAGUUUCAGCAAGUCUUUAUUCUAAUGAAUACGAUUCUGCCACAAAGAAUGGAGUCAACAUAGUCUGGUGCUGACUGCAUUGCUGAUGGAGAAGUUGCACUUGAAAAGAGGCUGUCUUUUCAACUCUGUGUUUAUUUGUAUUAAAUUAAAAGAAAACCAG